AGAAUCCACCGGGGUGCAGCGAGGCUGUGGAAAGUCCCACCCAGAACGUGAGGUGAAGAAGGCUUGGGCUGCGCUGGUUCUGCUCUGUCCGGGUCGGAGAUGAACUGACCCGGGAGAGCAGCGGAGGGAUGUUUCUUUUGGCCAACAGUGGGGACUCACCUGCACGUUUUGCGAAGAGGCCCACAGUCCUUUGCGUGGCGCUCGGACUACAUUUCCCAACGGCCCCUGCACGCCCUGGGGGCUGUUCCAUGCGGUGUUGCGCCUGCGUAGCCGGCGGGCUGGCAGUGAGACUGACUGCGUCGGGGUUGAGACUGGGUGGAUGAGGCUCACCCCGGCGGGGAGAAGGGACGAGGAGGGGCGGACAGCGGAAGGUCCGGGAGUGUCCGCCAUAAAGUCGUUUGAGGUGACCGUUGCGUAAUUGUGAGUCUGUGAGAGAAGAUGUGAAGUAUGGCCUCGUCCCGGUCAUCUGGGCGUGCGGGUCCCGGGUUUUGAUCGCGCGUUUGUGUAGUUUUAACUUCUAGUCAUGGCGAAUGAUCGCAGGAGAGCACAGACUGGACCCUGCUACGAUCUCUCUUGGAGUGGAUCAGACUGAUGAUCACCAACAACCAACUCAUUCCCGGAUAAGGAAGAAGAGAGUGUCACCUACUUCAGUGUGGUUUCAACCCUACUUCUGCAUCUUAAAGACACUGUAUGGUUUCAGCAGUAGUGCCCCUGUUCAUUAGUCCCCCUGAUGUUUUCAUUCCUCAUCUCAUCUUUUUCUUAGCAGCAUUCAAUGAAUCCUUCAUUCUAGAAACACUCUAUAUCUUUGGUUUUCAUGAGACCAUUCUCACCUUGUUUUGUCCUGUGACUUUUUUGAAAAAAACAAAAACAAAAAACCCUUUUUUUCUUUUUAAAUUCUGGUAAAAAACACAAUGAAAAUUUGCUAUCUUAACCAUGUUGAAAUGUGCAGUUAGUAAAGUACAUUCACAUUGUGGUGCAAGCCAUCACUACCAUCCAUCACUAGAACCCUUUUCAUCUUGCAGAUCUGAAACUCUACCCAUUAAACGACUUCCCAUCUUCCCAUCCCCACAGCUCCUAGCAACCAACAUUCUACUUUCUCUAUCAGUUUGACUACUCUAGGUACCUCAUAUGAGUAGAAUCAUACAGCAUUUAUCCUUCUCUGCCUGGCUUAUUUCACUUGUAUAAUGUCCUCAAGGUUCAUUCAUGUUGUAGCAUGCAUCAGAACUUCCUCCCCUUUUAAAGGCUGGAUAAUAUUUCAUGGUAUGUUUAGAUCACAUUCUGUUUAUCCAUUCAUCCAUCAGUGAACACUUGUGCUCCUUCCAACUUUGGGCUGUUGGGUGUCCUGCCACUGUUGCUCCUAGUGCUCAAUCUCGUUUAUUCCCUCCUAAUCAAGUGUACAACGUUGGACACUGUGCAGGAUGAUGCCACUUCAUCUUGGAUGCUAAUCUGCCAUGUUGACUUCUGAUUAACCCCAGGCCCAGGAAUGCCUCAAGAUUUCUACUUUACUUACUGUUGCUUGUGUAAGCCAAGACAACCUUGAUGUUAUCAUAAACAUGUACUUACCUAAGUCCUGUCCUUUGGCAAAUUAUGGGCUAUGAGACACAGCAUUCUUGCCUUUCCCUGAGGGGUCAAUUUCAGCGAUCCUACACAUUCCUUCUGAAGCACUUAUGCUCUUUCUAUAUGGUAUGUAAGCUCUCGGUCUGGGGAGUAACAGUGCAGAGAUCUACCUGUCUUGUUGCCACAUGUUUCUAAACUUUCCAAUAAAUCACCUUCUACUGACAAA
rnacentral:lncRNA from 10 species